rnacentral:rRNA from 1 species
AGUCGANGAUGAAGCCCAGCUUGCUGGGUGGAUUAGUGGCGAACGGGUGAGUAACACGUGAGUAACCUGCCCUUAACUCUGGGAUAAGCCUGGGAAACUGGGUCUAAUACCGGAUAGGAGCGCCGACCGCAUGGUGGGUGUUGGAAAGAUUUAUCGGUUUUGGAUGGACUCGCGGCCUAUCAGCUUGUUGGUGAGGUAAUGGCUCACCAAGGCGACGACGGGUAGCCGGCCUGAGAGGGUGACCGGCCACACUGGGACUGAGACACGGCCCAGACUCCUACGGGAGGCAGCAGUGGGGAAUAUUGCACAAUGGGCGCAAGCCUGAUGCAGCGACGCCGCGUGAGGGAUGACGGCCUUCGGGUUGUAAACCUCUUUCAGUAGGGAAGAAGCGAAAGUGACGGUACCUGCAGAAGAAGCACCGGCUAACUACGUGCCAGCAGCCGCGGUAAUACGUAGGGUGCGAGCGUUAUCCGGAAUUAUUGGGCGUAAAGAGCUCGUAGGCGGUUUGUCGCGUCUGUCGUGAAAGUCCGGGGCUUAACCCCGGAUCUGCGGUGGGUACGGGCAGACUAGAGUGCAGUAGGGGAGACUGGAAUUCCUGGUGUAGCGGUGGAAUGCGCAGAUAUCAGGAGGAACACCGAUGGCGAAGGCAGGUCUCUGGGCUGUAACUGACGCUGAGGAGCGAAAGCAUGGGGAGCGAACAGGAUUAGAUACCCUGGUAGUCCAUGCCGUAAACGUUGGGCACUAGGUGUGGGGACCAUUCCACGGUUUCCGCGCCGCAGCUAACGCAUUAAGUGCCCCGCCUGGGGAGUACGGCCGCAAGGCUAAAACUCAAAGGAAUUGACGGGGGCCCGCACAAGCGGCGGAGCAUGCGGAUUAAUUCGAUGCAACGCGAAGAACCUUACCAAGGCUUGACAUGUUCUCGAUCGCCGUAGAGAUACGGUUUCCCCUUUGGGGCGGGUUCACAGGUGGUGCAUGGUUGUCGUCAGCUCGUGUCGUGAGAUGUUGGGUUAAGUCCCGCAACGAGCGCAACCCUCGUUCCAUGUUGCCAGCACGUAAUGGUGGGGACUCAUGGGARACUGCCGGGGUCAACUCGGAGGAAGGUGAGGACGACGUCAAAUCAUCAUGCCCCUUNUGUCUUGGGCUU